rnacentral:rRNA from 1 species
UGCAAAUAGUCGGUGGUGAUAAACUUAUCAUCCCCUUUUGCUGAUGGAGCUGCACAUGAACCCAUUCAAAGGCCGGCAUUUUCAGCGUGACAUCAUUCUGUGGGCCGUACGCUGGUACUGCAAAUACGGCAUCAGUUACCGUGAGCUGCAGGAGAUGCUGGCUGAACGCGGAGUGAAUGUCGAUCACUCCACGAUUUACCGCUGGGUUCAGCGUUAUGCGCCUGAAAUGGAAAAACGGCUGCGCUGGUUCUGGCGUAUUGCUCCGCUCUUUGCCCGUGUCCGAUGGAUGCACCGGCACUGUUGCAAAGUUAGCGAUGAGGCAGCCUUUUGUCUUAUUCAAAGGCCUUACAUUUCAAAAACUCUGCUUACCAGGCGCAUUUCGCCCAGGGGAUCACCA